AUUGAACGCUGGCGGCAUGCUUUACACAUGCAAGUCGAACGGUAACAGGUUAAGCUGACGAGUGGCGAACGGGUGAGUAAUGCAUCGGAACGUGCCCGAUCGUGGGGGAUAACGCAGCGAAAGCUGCGCUAAUACCGCAUACGAUCCGAGGAUGAAAGCGGGGGACCGUAAGGCCCCGCGCGAUCGGAGCGGCCGAUGUCAGAUUAGGUAGUUGGUGGGGUAAAGGCCCACCAAGCCGACGAUCUGUAGCUGGUCUGAGAGGACGACCAGCCACACUGGGACUGAGACACGGCCCAGACUCCUACGGGAGGCAGCAGUGGGGAAUUUUGGACAAUGGGCGAAAGCCUGAUCCAGCAAUGCCGCGUGCAGGAAGAAGGCCUUCGGGUUGUAAACUGCUCUUGUACGGAGCGAAAAGGUCCUUUCUAAUACAAGGGGCUCAUGACGGUACCGUAAGAAUAAGCACCGGCUAACUACGUGCCAGCCGCCGCAGUAA
rnacentral:rRNA from 1 species